ensembl:snoRNA SNORA74 Small nucleolar RNA SNORA74
CCCAGCUAUAGGCAACUGCCUAGGGUACAUUGUACCCAGGAAAGUGUUACACUGCUGGGAGAAAAGCAGCCAGUAGCUGGCACAUGCUGGACCUGGCUAAUGCCAAAUUUGUGUUAACUAUACCUGUGUGUCAGCAUA